ACGCUGCCUUCCAAUUAAAAACAAGCCAUUAUGAAACAUUGUUAAGAGAAGCGAAAAAGAACACAGAGAAAGCUGGAAAAUUAAAAAAAAAAAAUCCCUUCUUUCCUGCAGAAGAGAAGAGAGAAUCUAUCGAUAGGUUUUGUUGAAUCUUGUUAAUUAGUGAAGAUGAUGGUAGCAGCUAUUAACAGCUUCGAUCUUUGGCAAAAGGAUGUUUUUUUCUCAGCAGCAGAGGAGGUUCAAGAAUCUGCCGAUACAAUGGAAUCUGCGUAUAGGGUUUGGAUUAAAGAGAAGAGACAAGGUCGAUCAGACCAGCUCUGCAUUGAACUUCAAGCUGCUUUGAGCACUGCUAAAUGGCAGCUGGAAGAGUUUGAGAGGGCAGUGAGGUUGAGCCACCGUGGACAUUGCCGAGACGACACUACCUUGACUCGGCAUAAACAGUUUGUCACCGCUAUCGAGAACCAGAUUCACCGAGUGCAGUCCUCACUGCAAGAGGCUUUGACCGAGAACGGGAAACCGCCUCUGCGUUUGGUUGAUCUCAACAAGGAAGAGCGUGAUGACCUCGCCAUGUUUCUCUCUGGCUCUUCUUCUCUGACCUCGGAGAGUUUCAGCAGUGGAAGAAGAAGCACCAACUUGAGAGACUCCUCGACGAGCUCCUUGGCUGAAAACACGCGUGGGAGAAGAGAGACUAGCUGUGUGAUAGACAUUGUUGACGAGGGAGGUAGCCCUGAAAGUGCUGAUGCUGUAAUCCGCGUGCAGCAAGGUGGUGAUAGAAGGUCGGGGACGAGAAGAACAUGGAUGUAACGACCCGGAUCUUAGGAGUAAGGCCCAUUUGUUUUAUUUUAAUCAAAACCCAUUCCUUUUUAUUUUUGUCCCACAUUGGAAGUUUGAGCUUCAUACCUCACUUCCCUUCUCCUAUAUAAUAGACUCCUCUUCUUCUCUUUAUUCUCAUCAAGUCAAAGUAUUUCUUUGCGCGUGACAAAUUGUUGUUAAAUUAUUCAACGACCAGUCACUAGUUAAUUUUUCCGGUGAGAUUUCCGGCGAGCUUCCGGCGGGAUUUUUGGACGAGCUUCCGGCGGCAUUUCUGGGCGAGCUUCCGUUGACCUCAGUUGAUCAUUUCCGUUGUUCGUUCCAGUCAGUUGCUAAGGUGAGGGCUAUUCCGUUAAAUCCUGAGCUAGUUUAGUACUAUUAUUAUUGAAAGUCUAGUUUCGAAACAUGAUCCGUCUUUGUGAAUCGAGUAUGUUUGAAAGUCUUGGUUGCUUAUUAUUAAUUUGAUUGUUAAACUGGAAAUAGGAUAAUAGAGGAUUCAACGAUUGUGUGAAAUGAUUGAUGUUAAAGACUGUUAUAUAUAUGUAUAUAUCUAGUUAUAUAGUAAGGACUAUGUGGUGAGUGCGGGGGCCCAGAGUGAUUUGGGCUAGCGACGCAUAUGAGUACGGGGGCCCAGAGAAAUCUGAGCUAGCGACGUAUAGAGUGCGGGGGCACAGAGACAUCUGAGCUAGCGACGCAUAGUGGAUGAGUACGGGGGCCCAGAGACGUCUGAGCUAGCGACGUAUAUUGUGUGGUGCGGGGUGCAGAGACGUUUGCAUAUCGACGCAUAUUGGUGGAGUGCGGGGGUCCAGAGAUGUCUGGACUAUCGACGCAUAUUAUGAUAUCGUAUAUCCGUAUGAGGAGAACGCAGGGUGUGUGGACUAGCUAUGUACCAUCAGCGUAUUGUUUGUUUUGUGUGAUGUGCUAGGCAUCUUGUCUGUUCAUGCUAGAGCUACUCUUACAUAGUCGUAGUGCUAUGUACUGAGUCUGUGGUUUGCGGGUUAGCAUCCCAUACCUCACUGAGUGACUCCCCUGUUGCUCAUCCCUCUUUCUUUUCUCUUUCAGGUGAGCCUGGCAGACAGGAGUGAUUGCUUUCGGAUUGGUGCUUUUGGGCGUUUUCUUUAUUUCUAUUCCAGAUUUUCGGUUUUGUGCUUUACCGAGAUUUUUAGAUUUAUUAUACUAUUUGAAUUUAAUGCUAUUUAUUGGAUUUAUGGAGAUUUGAGAUUAUUUAUGUGGAGUAAUAAAUGGAGAUUUCAGGAUUAUUUCUUUAUUUAUUAUUUAUUAUUAUUAUUAUAUAUUUUGGAAAAUCGGGGUAUUACAAUUUGGUAUCAGAGCGGGGUUCCGUCCUGGCUCUGACCCGGGACGGCGAUUUAUGGGACUCGGAUUUCAGUGAUUUUUCAAUGUUUUGGGAUUGGGAGUUUUUGAAAAAAAAAUGCACCCUUCUGCCGAGCAUCAUUCGGUUAGUCAUUAGAGAUUCUGAUUUUCUUUUCUUCUGCAGGUGAAGACCAAGUUUCUUUCGUUUCCAUCGUCUAUUACCUUUUAUCUUUCUUUUCUUCGAAGCUGUGGACGUUCUUUCUUCAUCUCUUUGGAAUUCGGGACGAAUUCUGAUUAAGUGGGGGAGAAUUGUAACGACCCGGAUCUUAGGAGUAAGGCCCAUUUGUUUUAUUUUAAUCAAAACCCAUUCCUUUUUAUUUUUGUCCCACAUUGGAAGUUUGAGCUUCAUACCUCACUUCCCUUCUCCUAUAUAAUAGACUCCUCUUCUUCUCUUUAUUCUCAUCAAGUCAAAGUAUUUCUUUGCGCGUGACAAAUUGUUGUUAAAUUAUUCAACGACCAGUCACUAGUUAAUUUUUCCGGUGAGAUUUCCGGCGAGCUUCCGGCGGGAUUUUUGGACGAGCUUCCGGCGGCAUUUCUGGGCGAGCUUCCGGUGGGUUUUUCUAGUAAGUAUGCCGCUUUCAUAUUUCUAGUAUAGGAAUCCAUUUUAGGGAAGUUACUAUUUUAGGAAAGUUUCUAUUUCGGGAAACUUUAUUCCUGAGACUCUGCGCCUAAGUCAUUGACUCUCGUGUUGCAGUUGACCUCAGUUGAUCAUUUCCGUUGUUCGUUCCAGUCAGUUGCUAAGGUGAGGGCUAUUCCGUUAAAUCCUGAGCUAGUUUAGUACUAUUAUUAUUGAAAGUCUAGUUUCGAAACAUGAUCCGUCUUUGUGAAUCGAGUAUGUUUGAAAGUCUUGGUUGCUUAUUAUUAAUUUGAUUGUUAAACUGGAAAUAGGAUAAUAGAGGAUUCAACGAUUGUGUGAAAUGAUUGAUGUUAAAGACUGUUAUAUAUAUGUAUAUAUCUAGUUAUAUAGUAAGGACUAUGUGGUGAGUGCGGGGGCCCAGAGUGAUUUGGGCUAGCGACGCAUAUGAGUACGGGGGCCCAGAGAAAUCUGAGCUAGCGACGUAUAGAGUGCGGGGGCACAGAGACAUCUGAGCUAGCGACGCAUAGUGGAUGAGUACGGGGGCCCAGAGACGUCUGAGCUAGCGACGUAUAUUGUGUGGUGCGGGGUGCAGAGACGUUUGCAUAUCGACGCAUAUUGGUGGAGUGCGGGGGUCCAGAGAUGUCUGGACUAUCGACGCAUAUUAUGAUAUCGUAUAUCCGUAUGAGGAGAACGCAGGGUGUGUGGACUAGCUAUGUACCAUCAGCGUAUUGUUUGUUUUGUGUGAUGUGCUAGGCAUCUUGUCUGUUCAUGCUAGAGCUACUCUUACAUAGUCGUAGUGCUAUGUACUGAGUCUGUGGUUUGCGGGUUAGCAUCCCAUACCUCACUGAGUGACUCCCCUGUUGCUCAUCCCUCUUUCUUUUCUCUUUCAGGUGAGCCUGGCAGACAGGAGUGAUUGCUUUCGGAUUGGUGCUUUUGGGCGUUUUCUUUAUUUCUAUUCCAGAUUUUCGGUUUUGUGCUUUACCGAGAUUUUUAGAUUUAUUAUACUAUUUGAAUUUAAUGCUAUUUAUUGGAUUUAUGGAGAUUUGAGAUUAUUUAUGUGGAGUAAUAAAUGGAGAUUUCAGGAUUAUUUCUUUAUUUAUUAUUUAUUAUUAUUAUUAUAUAUUUUGGAAAAUCGGGGUAUUACAAUGGAGUUCGCCGAAUGUUCCUAAUGUAACUGCGUUGAGGAUUAAUGUGGAAGAAGAGGAGGAGAAGAAGACCAAGAAGAGACUUGUGUUUGACAUCGAAGACACUCCUAAGGAGAAAGGAUCUAGACCUCUGUUUUCGAUGCAGAGAUGUCGUGAUUAUAACCUUCUCUUUGACAGAGUCAGACAAUAUCAAAGGAGGUUUCGUGUUCCCUUUAGCAGACCGGUCCAGCUCAUUCUUUCCUUCACGCUAAUCUUGUUUCUUCUAUUACUGUUUCGUGUUUAUUAGUCUUGACAACUUAAAACUUUGGUUUCCUGAAACACUCGAGAACAUUUGACAAGGUUACAUAUUCUUGCUUGUUGGUCACACACAUCAGAAGAACAAGCCUGCAUUUUCUUUACUUUCUUUUGUCCUCAAGGAAACAUAUAUAGGAACUUGUAACUUUGUAGGUCUAUUUGUAAAGUAUACUAAAAAAAUUCGUGUGUUGUUGUUACAAAUCGAUGCGGUUAAGGUUGUUGAAGUUCACCACGGUCCUUGAAAA